rnacentral:rRNA from 1 species
GCCCUUAUGGGCUGGGCUACACACGUGCUACAAUGGCGGUGACAGAGGGGAGCGAGACCGCGAGGUGGAGCCAAUCCCCAAAAACCGUCUCAGUUCGGAUUGUACUCUGCAACUCGAGUGCAUGAAGGCGGAAUCGCUAGUAAUCGCGGAUCAGCAUGCCGCGGUGAAUACGUUCCCGGGCCUUGUACACACCGCCCGUCACGUCAUGAAAGUCGGUAACACCCGAAGCCG